rnacentral:rRNA from 1 species
GGUCGGUUACGGCCGGGUUUCACACAGGUGUUGCAUGGCUGUCGUCAGCUCGUGUCGUGAGAUGUUGGGUUAAGUCCCGCAACGAGCGCAACCCUCAUCCUUAGUUACCAUCAGGUAAUGCUGGGGACUUUAAGGAAACUGCCAGUGAUAAACUGGAGGAAGGUGGGGAUGAUGUCAAGUCAUCAUGGCCCUUAUGGAGUGGGCUACACACGUGCUACAAUGGUGGCUACAAUGGGCUGCAAAGUCGCGAGGCUAAGCUAAUCCCUUAAAAGCCAUCUCAGUUCGAAUUGUACUCUGCAACUCGAGUGCAUGAAGUUGGAAUCGCUAGUAAUCGUGGAUCAGCACGCCACGGUGAAUACGUUCUCGGGUCUUGUACACACUGCUACCGAUCACGCCAUG